UACGUAGGGUGCAAGCGUUAAUCGGAAUUACUGGGCGUAAAGCGUGCGCAGGCGGUUAUGCAAGACAGAUGUGAAAUCCCCGGGCUCAACCUGGGAACUGCAUUGGUGACUGGCAGGCUUUGAGUGUGGCAGAGGGAGGUAGAAUUCCACGUGUAGCAGUGAAAUGCGUAGAGAUGUGGAGGAAUACCGAUGGCGAAGGCAGCCUCCUGGGCCAACACUGACGCUCAUGCACGAAAGCGUGGGGAGCAAACAGG
rnacentral:rRNA from 1 species